AUUGAACGCUGGCGGCAGGCCUAACACAUGCAAGUCGAACGGUAACAGGAAGAAGCUUGCUUCUUUGCUGACGAGUGGCGGACGGGUGAGUAAUGUCUGGGAAACUGCCUGAUGGAGGGGGAUAACUACUGGAAACGGUAGCUAAUACCGCAUAACGUCGCAAGACCAAAGAGGGGGACCUUCGGGCCUCUUGCCAUCGGCUGUGCCCAGAUGGGAUUAGCUAGUAGGUGGGGUAACGGCUCACCUAGUCGACGAUCCCUAGCUGGUCUGAGAGGAUGACCAGCCACACUGGAACUGAGACACGGUCCAGACUCCUACGGGAGGCAGCAGUGGGGAAUAUUGCACAAUGGGCGCAAGCCUGAUGCAGCCAUGCCGCGUGUAUGAAGAAGGCCUUCGGGUUGUAAAGUACUUUCAGCGGGGAGGAAGGGAGUAAAGUUAAUACCUUUGCUCAUUGACGUUGCCCGCAGAAGAAGCACCGGCUAACUCCGUG
rnacentral:rRNA from 1 species